CCGCGUGGCCCUUGCGCCCGCGGCCCUCAGCCUCGCCGCCGCCAAGCAGGUGCGGGGAGCCAGGCUCCGCGCGCAGGCGACGUACAAGGUGAAGCUGGUGACGCCCGAGGGCGAGGUGGAGCUGGAGGUCCCCGACGACGUCUACAUCCUGGACCAGGCCGAGGAGGAGGGCAUCGACCUGCCCUACUCCUGCCGCGCCGGCUCCUGCUCCUCCUGCGCCGGCAAGUUGGUGUCCGGCGAGAUCGACCAGUCCGACCAGAGCUUCCUCGACGACGACCAGAUGGAGGCAGGGUGGGUGCUCACCUGCCACGCCUACCCCAAGUCCGACAUCGUCAUCGAGACCCACAAGGAGGAGGAGCUCACCGCAUAAGCUGCUUACCCUGCCUCUCUUUGCAACAAGAUCGAGCUGAUAUCAUAUUAUCUCCCAUCAUGCAUGCAUGCAUGGAUAUCGCCAGAUACACCGAUUUGUUUGUGCUCGAAUGAAUUGCUCGAUGCAUGGUUUGCUCCAGUAAUAAUGUCUUCGAAUUACUACCUUUUUGUACCGUAAGAUAUACUACUGUCGUAAUACUAGCGUGUACUUAAUUCAACGUACUGAAAUGAAUCCUGAUGGCUGAGGUGUCUCUCUGAUUAAUAAUAUCUUCUUUUUUACUUAAGAUAAGAGACUGCUGAAUGUUGGUUGCUAACGGUGGUGGUUGAUGUUGAAGUUUUGUUGCUGCAAGUUGAUUGCUUCGCCGCGUUAUGCCUUGCCUUGUUUCUCAUUUAUGUAUUUUUGAUGAUGCAUCGUCGCACUAGGUAGCUCUUGAAUUGUGUUUGGGGGCACCUUGAAAUUAAUAAACAGUAAGGUAGGUCACAAUGUCUUCAACCCCCUUUCUAGAAACCACUCUAACAUCAAAUAGAAUAUUACUCUAUUGAUUAGUACAGAGAUGCUAUAUACACUUUGUCACAGUUUGUACAGAGAUUGUAGGUGAAUGCAAUUGAAUUAAACCAUAUGUGACAUGCACCGUGAAGUCGAAACCUUGCAACAUAGUGUCAGAAAUAACAAAUCGAUGUCUUACUUCAUUAGAUGUGGAACCAUCUACCCUCGUUGUUGAUCAUCAUAAUGGUUUUAUAAACCCCCAACAUGUUGUGUUUUAAAACGAUUGUACCAUGUUCUUGUUUCGACUGCCGGGGGGAGGGCUCGUGAUGACCUACUCUUUCUCAAGUUAUCAUGUUAGUCACUUGGAUGACUUAGGCCCUGUUUGGAACUAUAAUACUCCCUCCGUUCCAUAAUAUAAGUCUUUUUAAAGAUUCCACUAAAAAACUACAUACAGAUGUAUAUAAACAUACUUUAGAGUGUAGAUUCACACAUUUUGCUCCGUAUGUAGUCCACUAGUGAAAUCGCUUAAAAGACUUAUAUUUAGGAACGGAGGGAGUAGAUUAUAAUAAUCUAGAUUAUGAAGAUAGAUUAUAUAAUCUGGUUUAUAAAAAUAAUCUAGAUGGACAUGUUUGGAGGCCGGAUUAUAUAAACUGUAAUCCAGAUUUUACAUUGCAUAAUGACCUGUCUGCCCUCUGUUUAAAAAAAAAAAAGGGUGGCGGUGGUAGGAAUGUAAUUAUCUCCAACUUUACAAGGGUAAUAGAUCAUUAGCAAUCCAUAAUCUGAUUUUAGCUGGUAUAGACUAGAUUAUGAGUUUUUAAUAAUAUAUCCAUCUAGUUUUUAUAAUCUACACCAUAAGCUGUCCUGUUUGAAGACAAAAUAGAUUAUAGAAACUGGAUUAUAUAAUCUGGAUGGUUCCAAACAGGGCCUUAGAUGGAGAUAAUGCACACCAUUGAAAAAAUUAUACUUAUAGAUAGGGUCACUUUAGUGGCUGGAAUAGUCUCGGACCUGUCACUCGUACUUCGGUCCAACAACGUACAUGCCAUUGCAAUUUACUGAGCAGGGAUUGCCGCCCGCCACUGAUUUUCUAGUCCCACAUUGGCCAUGGGGAAACCUUUUCAGUGGCGGGCGGUCGGGUACAACCUACCACUGGCAGUGAAGUUGUCACUGGCAGGCACCGGUUUCCUCCAACCAUUAGUGCACCACAUAUGUAAUUUUCUAAUUUCCUGCAUUUGUUUUUACAUUUUAGUGUGGUAUUCUUUUGUGACUUUGUUACUGUAUGAGAAUUGUUUGACCUUUGUAGUAUCUUUAUUUGCUAUAUUUUAGACAUUUUAUUAAUAAAGUUGUAUUUAAUUGAAUAUAAUUAUAUUUUUUGAACUACAACUAUAUAUUUUAAAUUACUUUCAAAGGUUCGAAGACAAAUAUUUAUGUCUCGUGAAACAAUAGUAUUGUUUCACCAAUAUUUGAGCAGUUUUUCAGCAUAUGUAGUUCAUAUUUAAUUUAUGUCCAUUAGAUAAACUAAAAAUGCAUUUAAUGCCCCAAAUAUAUCAUAUAAACCUAGAAACGCAUUUAAUGCCCCAAAUAUAUCAUAGAAAACUAGAAUAGUCCUGAAUUUGACCAAGGAACUUGUAAUGGUGUAUACCAAAAAUAAAAAAAGUUUCUGUUAAAAAAUGAUGAAAAAAUUGUGUUCCCAUUCAAACCCAACAUUUUCCCUUAGAAACGUUGAUACUUCCGUGGAGACUGUUAUUUCUACGUGAAGUGCAUCGGAUUUUUUCUGUGAGUCUCUAAUUUUGUUACCACACCUUCGGUUUCAUAUCAUGACACCAUGCAAAGUUCCAUCAUUUUCAAACUGAAUUUACAUCUAUGUAUAAAAAAAAUCAAUACUCUUAAUAGCUAGAAAUUGAUCUGAUGCUUAAAAAUAGCAAAUCAACCCAAAAGGUGAUAAAGUCUAUCAUGAGUCUUUAUGAAGUAAAUUCAACCCCACAAAAGGUGGAAAUUAAAUUCUACCCCUAAAGCAGUAAAGCAAACAUAUUGCAAAAAAUGCAAAAAAGUAGCGUGCGACCAUAAACACCCUCCAUUGAUUGAUUUUGGUCACAUUCCCGCGAGUGAGUGGGACAUGCCCGCACCUUCAACCUGCAAAUGUGGUUGCCUUAUCCCCCAUUGUCGACCUCUCCCAUCCGACUCUACCCAAUCCCUAGCUUGCAAUCACCAUUGCUGCACCCGUCGUUGUCGCCGGCGAGGGAAUCAUCGUCUUUUUCAUGGGUUGUCAUUGUUGCAACAACCCCGGUCAGCGUGGCCGAAAUGCCCACCCCAUGGCCUCCUCCACCAGCAAUGGUGGCCUAACCCGCUGCCACUAGCCUCCUCUUCCUCCAAGCCCGAUGCCUUUAACUCUCCCCAUGUCUCCUUGCGCGUCGGUGGCCCCAAUCUCCUGGUUGUAUUUUGCAAUUGCAAAGGACAUUGUAUUCGUUGUGAGAUACUUAAAUCUGUUGAAAGGAUAUCGAAUUCUAUAAGCAACAUGCUUCUUGCUUGUGGAAUGUGCAGGCUAUUCUUUCAUGGAAAAUUUGGUCUUAGGAUACUUGGGGAUAGGAAAUAGAGAAUUAAUCAAGGUAGAUUGUUGUUAAUCCAUUUUGCUUCAUAUCCUUCUAUUGAUGUAUGAUUAGCUCGUUCUUUCUAGACUACGCCAUAUACAUCAUUUCUUUAGCAAAUUUAUUUACUCCUGCUUGCAUAACUAUGUCGUAUGCAUCAUUAUGCUUAGCUCCUGCUUGCAAGAUUACUUGAGGAUAAUAGGAAGCAAUUAUGGUUUCAGAAUAAACCAAUCAGAAUAAGAAACACAUCCUCUAUACUCACAUCAUCUUUUAUACCUCAAUGCUUGUAGGUGUAGUGUUUUUUGCCCCAUGCAAAUUUGUGUUACGUCAUCUUUUAGAUACAAAUCAUGGUACCCUUGUUCCUGUCUUGACAUCAUGGUCAUGUUUUAAAAAAAGCAUUUUCUUAUUUAUGUUACACCCCACAUGUAUGUAUACAUAUAUUUCUUUUUUAUGUCUCUUUGAAGGUUGUUAGUGCCACAUGUAGGUGGGGUUGUAUUUUUUUAUUGGUGAAAGUUGUUGGUUCUACAUGUUGUGUCACCUUAUAUAAGGUGUAUUACACUUUAAAUAGUAAUGUGCAUAUCUCCAAAAUUUGUAGGGCUUCAAAAUGAGUGCCAAAAUUCUGGCGAAAUGUUGAUUUAUUUCCAUUUCACCACAUUUUGAGCACUCAAUAUUUUCAAUUUUUUUAGCAAAACUAUGCCCAACUUUUCCAAUGAUUCAUAAUUGUUUACCCUUAUUAUUUUAUAGAUGUACUGGCUAUACUAUAGUGUAUAAAUGAUGCGACGAACUAUGUGUUUUCUAUUUAAUUUCUCAACAUGAAUGUAUGCAAUCAACCAUGUAUACCCAUGAUGUGGUAACAUCAACGUAGGUGUGUGCCACAGGUGCUUAUCAACUCUAAGGAAUUCUACGUAGAUCUUGACGAGAACUUUCCACAGAGGAUUGUACGUUUUAAUUCAACAUGUGUUGUGGAUGCUGAAUUGCUCACAUAUAUAAAAUUACCCAAAAAAUGUCUAUUUUUCAUAUUUCUCCAUGCAUCCCUUGUUAUGCAAGGCUCACUUCCUACAUAAAGUGAACGUGCCAUAGAGGAGAAGGUUACAUUUGAGCUCAAGAUGAUCAUGUUAAAAAAUGGCACAACCUUCAACCUUACGGUCACCAACGAGGCACACGGAACCUUUCAGUUGCCCAUGUUGAAGAGGGAUUGCAACCGAAUAAAUGAUGCAAAAUGCGAAGGCAUUCUUGUUUUUUUAGCGAAGGCGUUCUUUGUCGUUUCUUGGCGAACAAGAUGAUGAUGACAACAUCUAUAUGUGGUUCACACCGCCCCCACCACCAUAGUUGUUCUUGGUGGAAGGAUUCGGAGUUCAUAGGCAUAGUUUUAUCAUGCACUUCAUUUAAUGCAUAUGUUAUAUCUUUUUAUAAUCAUCCAAAUUUAUUCCUCAAAUAACGGCUAUAUCAUUUAAAAUUAAAAGAGAAAUAGAGUUUAGGGGACUAGAAUCCCAAAUAGAAGAGGGUCUAUAGGUAAAACUAGUCUUUGCUAGAGAAUCUGCUAUUUUGCUUCCCAAAGCAAUGGGCAAAAGAUGUGCCAGCAAAGUCCAUCACCAGAAAAUAGCAUUCCACGAUAGUGGCUGCAUCUGGCUCGAAAUUAUUCGUAUGCCAGUUCACAACCUCCACAACUAGGAUACCCAUGAUGUUUCGAUAAUCACAUUAGGUUUCCAUCACAUUAUUGCACACAAUGUUUCCAGCCAAACGAGCCCUUUGCGAAUGGCACUUAACUCUAUCAAAUCGGCACUACUGACAUGAGGCAAAUACCAUGUAACAGUGAAUGACACUUAACUCUAUCAAAUCGGCACUACUAACAUUAGGCAAAUACCAUGUAGCAGUGAAUGGCACUUAACUCUAUCGAAUCGACACUAUCGACAUGAAGCAAAUACCACAUAGCAGCGAGAGAAAGUUGCCUUUGUCAUCACGUACAAUAGCUCCCAUCGCACUCGAUUGUGUUUCAUAACGGAAAGAAGCAUCCACACUAACAUUAACACUUCCCAUGUUAGGUCUCUUCCAUAUAUGAUAUUUUUUUCAUACAGCUGAUUUGAAGUUACUGCUCUUAUGAAAUCUUUGGCCAAAACAUUGAUAGAAACUGCUCCCUUUUAGGGUUUUGGAGAGUGUAGGAUCGAAAGUAUGUCUAGUGGAGGGGGCUUCAUUAGACUACUUGAUAAGAUAAAAACUGAACCUUUUUCCUAAUUUUAGUUGUGGGCUAGUUUUAGCAAUUAUGACUAGUCAAGUUCAUCCUACUCAUGCAUAUCUAAGAUUAUAGCAGCGGAAAGUAAAGACAUGCAAAUGUAAUGAAGAGGGUAAGGUAGGAAGAUCAAAUGCAAAGGUCGACACGGUGAUUUUUGGCGUGGUUCUGAUAGGUGGUGCUAUCGUACAUCCAUAUUAGUGGAGACUUCAACCCACGGAGGGUAACAGCUGCGAGAUUACACAAAGGGCUCCACCCACAAGGGCUCCACGAAGAAGCGGCCUUGUCCAUUCCACCAUGGCUUACGUCCACACAAGACUAACCUCACUCACGGUAGAUCUUCACGAAGUAGGCGAUAUCCUUGCCCUUACAAACUUCUUGGUUCAACUCCACAACAUGAAGUAGGAGGCUCCCAAGCGACACCUAACCAAUCUAGGAGGCACCACCCUCCAAAAGUUAAUAGAUGCAAUAGAAGGAUGAACUCCUUGCUCUUGUGCUUCAAAAGAUAGUCUCCUCAACACUCAAUCACUCUCUCAUAGAUUUUGCAUGGGUAGGAGAGAUUGAUCCCAUGGAAAGCAACUUGGGGAGGCUAGAGAUCAAGUUUCAAAUGGUUGAAUUGGAAUCUCUUGAUCUUAACACAUGCAUGAGUAGGUGGCUUUCUCUCAGAAAUAUGGAUCUGGCAAGUGGGUGUGUGUUCUCAGUGCUUCCUUUUCGAAUGCGAGGAGGUGGAGGGGUAUAUAUAGACAUCUCCCAGAAUCCAACCAUUACCACAUUAUUUCCCAAUGCGGUGACACCGAAAGGAAUCUUAGUGGUACCAAGUUGCAAUAAAUGUGGCACCUUUUGAAUUCUUGGUAGACCAAUAUAUGAAUCUCGAUGGUAAAGAUACGAUGAUCUAGACCAGUUUCCAAAUCUCGGUGAGACCAAUUCCAAUCUCGGAAAUUCUGAUUGUUGGAAUUUUCUCAACAGAAAGUUGGUCAUUGAAUCUCGGUGGCUCUCAUAUGAAAGUUUGUGGUACCGCCAGAUUAGAGUCUGGCAACGGAUCCAUUGGGUGGAAAAUUAGUAGGGCCAAGUGGAAAAUAUUGGUGGCACCGAUUUUGCUCGUUUAGCUUUGGACAGGGAUAUCUUGUGGGAGAAUGGCUUAGUAGUUUUGGUGGCUAUCUCUAAGCACUUGAGCAACCAAUUCACCGUAAUACCUCACCCCCUUUAAAUAGUAUUGGCCUUCCUAUGGACUCAAAGUGAUUUAUCACAUAUGUAAAAUGUAGAGUCUUCUUGCUUGAAGCUUGAGCUAAUCCUAUUCCUUCCUUCAUCAAGGGGUUUCUCCACACAAUCCUUUAGCCAAGGCAUCUUUGAACUUUUCUAAAAUAUACUUGGAUAACAUCAUUAGUCCAAUGAUGCAUAUGUUGUGAUCAAUUAUCAAAACCACCUUAGGGAGCAAUUGUGCUUUAAAUCUCUCCCUUUUUGGUAACUGACGACAACAUAUAGAUCAAAGCUUCAACAAAAGGUAUAAUCAAUUAUUAGCAUCGACGCUUUGAGAAGUACGUGGAAAGCAAGAGAUGCCCCUAUAUUUGUGCAUUAUUUUAUAUUUGCAUUGGAAUGCAAAUGCACAAUCGAUUAGGAUCAUGGGUCACUCUUCCAUGUCACAUAUAGCUUGGUGGUGCGCAUAAAUGAUAUGAAUAAAUAGUAAUGCACAUAACACCAAACAAGCAAGUGAAUGAUCAUCAAGUAGAUGGCUCCAAGGUAAUAACGUGGUAGCAGCAAUCAAACAAAGUAUAGAUCAAACACUUCUCCCAAACACAUAAAGUCAACCAAAAGACCAAAAAAUUGAAAAACCAAAUGAGACCAAAUAAAAUGCAAACCUCUCCCUCUCGAAGACUAUUUGAUCUAUACACUUGUCCUCCUUUGGCGACAAGUUACCAAAAAGUUUGAAGGUCUAGAACUAAUUAUCUCUCUGGCUUGAACUCCUCCGGUAGAUGAUGAUGGAGUGGAUAGGAGAGCGUCGAUGAAGGCUUUUGCACAUGUCCCUGGAGCUGGAGGUGUUGACACUAGAGGUGCAGGAGCAGGAGUUGAAGGUGCUAAAGCUUGAGCUGAUGAAGAUGGUCUUGCUUCCAGAACUGGCAUAGUUGUUGACCUAGUCUGGGUCGUGAACUGAGUAGUAGUAGGAAGAGGCGACUCUUCCUCAUCACUUCUAGAGCGGGAUAUAUGCACAGAAUCAACUUUAUGCUGGAGCUGCUCAACAGUGGUAGUCAACUCCGUUACCUUAACCUCCAAGUCAUGGAAUUUUGUCUCCACGAUCCUCUCAAGUCUCUUCUGGUUCAGCAAGAUCUCGGAAAUUUUCUUCUCCAUCCCUUGGAUGGUACUGACCAAGAAUGACAUCUGCUCAUCUCUGGUCCUGAGCUAUGCGGUUGAAGCUGGAGCAUUCCUAGCAGCCGCUGUCUCUGCUACCUCUGCUGCCGCUUGAGCUGUAGCUGAGCUAGGAUGGCUAGGGUCCAUCACAACUUCAUUAUCUUCAAACUCUGGCUGAAGUGGCAGGUGGGGACGAUCAAGUAGAUAUGCAUGCUUGCCAAUCUUGGCAUUGAUGAGCAUCUGAAUAUAUGGAGCAUAUCCACAGGAUUUCUUUUGAUCUACAGCAGUCUUCCUCACAUGCUCAACUAUCAAGUCCAUCAUUAUGAACCGGAAGUGGGUGUCUAGAUGAUCCAACAUGUUGAUGGAAUAACCUCUAAUAAUCUUAUCCUCUCCUGAUUUGGGCAUGAGGGUGUAUCUCAUAAUGGUGUUUGUAGUAGGUAUCCCUGCUUGCAAGAAAUAGACAAAUCCAAACUUGUACAUCUGCACAUAUUUAUGAGGCACUGGCUUGUACAUUUUGCCGUAGAGUUAUGAUUCAUCUUGGGUUCUGAGUACACAUCCAGAUCUCCUUCUUGUGCCUUUGGAUCACCAAUUGUAGUGGCUCACUCAUACAUAAUAGACUCAUACCGGUGACCUUCAGUCAUCCAUACAAUCCUUCCGUCAGAACAGAAAUUAGCGAUGGAAUAGAAUUGCAUGAUCAUCUCAUCAUUCCAAGCAGUCAUCUCUCUGCCAACAAAAUAUUUAAUAUCGACUAGCCUGAAGUUUUCUCUCACAUGGGGAAAAUAAUGCUCACUGGCCUUGAUAUAUUCCCAAUGGACAUAUCUCAUAUCGCUGACUGCAAGACUCUUAUCAUGAAACACACUCUCAUAGAAAUCUUGUUGCUCCUUUAUGUGAAAGCGGGGAUCAACAACAGUUCUCCGUCUCACAUCAUAUGGAUCAACUGAUCUCCACUUACUCACUCCUUGAUCUCUCCUCUUUUGUAUGUCCUGAGCAGUUGGUGAGCAACAUUGUGUAGUGGCAGAUGAGCUCAAAGCUUCAUUAGAACAGGGGCACCCUCUUCCUCUUCUACCGCAAACUCUCUGGAUGCAGAGCCUUUGUUCCUCUGUGCUGCAGGAAUGUCCUUGGUAGUCUUCUUGGGAGCUACAGACUUCUUAGGAGUUGAGAACUUCUUGGGAGCAGAAGGCUUCUUUGGCAUAGCAUCAACCAUCGGCUUUUUCUUCAUAGGAGGAGGGACCUUAUGUGGAAUUUAUUCCUCCUCCUCAUCAACAACUUCUUCUGGGUCUUCAUAUAUUGAGGUUGGCCUUCCAAUAACAUAGUCAAUUCUCUUUCUUGCUCUCGUAUGACAUGGCUUCUUUGCAAGCCUAGCUUCUGGAGCUUUCAUGUCAGAACGUAUGGCAUAUUCCUUCCUCACAGUCUUCCUGACUGCGGUCUUAUCUUUCUGCUUCUCAGGAACAGAUUCCUCUGGAAUAAAGUCAACAUCUUCUUCAUCCGAAUUGAUCUUCCUUCUGGACCUGGUAGCUGCCUUGGACAAGCUAUGGGAGCUAGGUGUCCCUGGGUCAGAAGGUGUCCUCCUAGGACUAGUGCCUGAAUCCAUCUCAGCACUUGGCUCAGUGAAGUUGUUCUGACUAUCCUCUGAUCCUGACAUACUGUCACAGAGCCAAGUAGACAAUCAAACCCUAUGAAUAGAUAUACAAGAUCUAGAAGGGAUGAGCAUCACAAAAAUCAGAAGUUUUGGAAAAAUCGAACUCUGAAAAGUUAGGUUUAACAUUUAGCAAAAAAGGAUUUGUGUUCCAUCGAGACAAAAAUUUCGGAGGCACCGAUACUGACGUACUAAUUAACAGAAACUUGGCACCCUUUUCCGUUCCACUGAAAAGGAGAACUCACUUUCACCGAGACCGUUCUCGGUAGCCCUAAAAAAUCGUUAAGACCAACUUUUCUAAAUCGGUGACACCGAGAUUCAAUCUUGCGGAUGGCUAACCCUAAGAAUUCCAUUGUUCUCUAAUCUAUGGAAUUUUUCUUCUAGAUAGGAUGAGUGUAGAAGUGGACAAAAUUCAUCAAAACCUUAAUGCACAAGAAUCAGAAUUGGAGCGCAUAAAGGGGUCGGAUCCGUACCCUAGCUUGGUGAUGUAUCCGCUACGGCAACGACGACGGUGAAGAUUCCUGUUGACAACGAAGACUCCGGUGGUGAGGGCGCACGUGAGAAUUAAGGCGAUGUCCACGGGACUAGGGCGCGGCAUCGAGGAUGUGCGUCACGCGACGUUUGAAGUGAUUUUCCAAUCAUCGGGUCCGUGAGAUAUAUAUAUCUCCUAGCUGUCGGUGACACCGAUAUGGAAUUUUUGGUGCCACCGAGUUCCACAACUGUCAACUGAAAGUGAAAAUAGGUGAGGCCGGAAAGAACAACUCAGUCAUACCAAGUUAAGAAAACCUGAUCAACCCUAGGCUUCGGUGGGACCGAGAUUUUGUGGUUGGUCACACCGAGAUGCAAUUUGGGAGGUUUUGGGAUUCAGCACUUGUCGAGACGGAUCUAUCAAGCACUUGUGUCCCUAAAGUUCUUGCUCAAAUUUUGUGUUGUAGCAUGAAUAGAAUUUGAGACGAGAAAGCAUAGAUAGCUAGAGGGAAGUACUUAGGCAUUCUUGUAUAUCCAAUUGGCCAAAUGAAAUAGAAAGACAAAUAACAACAAUUGGAUAUCCUCGAAUGAGAAAAAUAUGCAUACCAACAUGCUCACACAAUAAGGUGUCAAAUAAAACAUGGUGAACAUGCACGAACAUUCUAGCAUCUAUCAAGCACUUUGGCGAUAAGGAAUUCAUCUAUAUAUGAGUAUAUUGACAUAGGAGCCAAGUAAGAGUACUUGACAAUAGGUCAUACUCAUCGAUUAAGAACAAGUGGGGUUAUCACUUUUACAUAAAACAUUAAUGUGCUCACAUCAUUUAGGAGACGCUUAUACUCAAGUCUUAGAGUAAAGCUCCUCCUAGAUGUGACAACCCCCUAAGAGGGAUAAACUAACCUUAGGUUUUGUAGUAGAAGAUUUCAAGUAGGUGUAGUAGUGGUGCAUGCUCAUUGUUGAUAAAGAUCAUCUUUGAGUUGGGAGCAAUCCUAGUUGUUUCUUACCCUUCUCACCUACAUGGGUUAGUCCCAAAGCAAAAGGAAUGUAUGCAAGAAUAUCUAUGGACAUGGCAUGAAGUGCAUGAGAGGUGAUGUAAAAAUAUGCAUUAAUUACCUUGUCCUUUGCUUACCUUUGAGGUAAUGUGUGACUCCUUGAACUAAUGCAUAUGGUUGGAGUUGAUUGCAUAUAGUUCUUGCCAAAAUGAAUAAGAGUGAAUUUGAUUGGUAGAGUCACCCCCUCAAGAAGUUUCUAGUUCUUCAUCUUAGGGACCCACAUCAACUUGAUGGGGAUCCUUGGAGUUGUGAUAGCAGUAGAUGAGGUAGUGUUAGUUGUGUCCAUGGGAUUCCACUCGACCUUGGCUUGGGUUUCUUCCUCAAAUGAUUCAAUCUCCUCUUGAAGCUUUCCCUUGCCCUUGUGAUCUUGUGGUUGAAGGUCAUGUUGAGAGCUUGUUCCCUUGGGAAGAGUAGGAUCAUACUUUUCCUCUUGAGGAACGAACUUCGGUAUGGGAUAUAGACCUUCUUCCCAUUCAUCUCCGUUGGCAUUGAGGUAACCAACACCGUGCUUCUUCCGAUGUCCUCCUAGCUUGCGCAUAAUUUACUCGAAUUGCUAACUUUCGGCAAGACUCUUGAAGACACCUCUCUCUUCCUUUCCAUAAAUCAUUUUCUUUCUCAAGUGUAACUUGGCUAAGAGAAUCAUUAGUGGAAUCAAGAGAGCUACUAGAAACAACAUCAUUUGAUCUAACUUUAGCAUUUUGUUACUAGAUGAAGAAACUUUCUUGCAUUUGUUACUAGUGUUCUUAGGUUUGACUUGUGGAAUAAAAGUAGAUAAGAUUAAUCAUUUGAAUAGAUAAGAAUAACUCUUCUUCCGAAGAUCAUCAUUGAUUGCUCUUAGAAACUCAUGAUCUUGUCCUAAAUUUAGCUUCUCGAAGCAUAACUUCUCAUGAGUUCUUGCAAGCUCCCUUUGAUCUUCUAGAGUAGUUUCACGAGCUAACUUAAGAGUGUUAAAUACUUUAGUUAGUUGUUGAGUAUCUUUCUUAUCAUCAUCAUUCGAUUUCUCUUGACUAGCAUGAUUAUGUUCAAGUUCAUUUUCAAUGUUCUCACUAGUCUUAUCAAGGAGCAAGUCAUCUCCUCCUAACAAGUCAUCCUCAUCACUAUCAGAGUCAAAGUAAUUGGGGUGUGAUACCUUGGGGCCUUUUUCCAUGAAGUUGUUUCCAGUCCCUUCAUUUGGUGAAUCAAAUAAGUCAUAGGAGUUGGAGGAAACGAGUUCAAGACCGACAACACCUUCAUCUUGACUAUAGUCAGAGUUGGAGUGGUAGCUUCUCUCAGAUUGGUUGUCAGACUCGGAGCCGGAAAGCCUUUCACCAACAUGAUCUUGAUGUCUUGUUCUUGAGAUGCUCUUGGUGUACUUGUCCUUCCUCUCCAAUUCCUUUCCUCUCUGGGAGUGUCUUCGUUCAUAAUGAUCUUCUCUAAUCCUUCUCUUUGUGAGAGGUGACUCAUCUCUUGAGCUUCGUCUUCUAGGUGACUAUUCUCUUCUUUUGUGGGGAGCCGAGCACUCAUUGGAAUAGUGUCCUGGGUUUCCAUAGUUGUAGCAGUAUCGGUCACGACUAGACGAACGCUUCUCAUCAUGUAUUGAGCUUGAGCUUCUCUCCUUGCAUCUACUUUUGUAGAACUUGUUCAAUUUUAUGACCAUGAGGUUGAUCUCUUCAUUCGUAACAAAGUUGUCAUUUGAAGUAUCUUGAGUAUAACUUGAAACUCUGUAAGUACCGCUUGACUUGUUGUGCAACUCAUCUUUGUCCUUGAGUGACAUUUCAUGAGCAACAAUCCUUCCAAUAGCUUCAGUUGGCUUGAGAUCCUUGUAGUUUGGCAUCAUUUGAAUUAAUAUACACACGGUGUCGUAUCUUCCAUCCAAGGCUCUAAGUAUAUUCUUGAUGAUGAAUUAGUCGGUCAUCUCUUCACUUUCUAAGUCGGCAAUCUCAGCGACUCCCUCACCAUCCUUCAUCUUGAACUUGUCAAGAUGACUUUGAGGCACAUCCAACUUAGAUUCCAUGACAAAAUCAGCACCUUCGUGCAGAUGAAUCAAAGUAUCCCACGUGCAGAUGAAUCAAAGUAUCCCAAAUUUUCUUUGCAUUCUCAAGGCUUGAGAAUUUUAUUGCAACAUGUUCAAUUCUUCCGAUGUCGCAUCACGAUCCGGUUCCCUUGCUUCUCCAAAUAAAUCACCUUGCACACCAACACGAAUAACAGCCCAAACGGUAGGAUUAUGACCAAGAAUAUGCAUUUUCAUCUUAUGCUUCCAACUAGCGAAGUUUGUACCAUCGAAAUAUGCACCUCUACAGUGAUAAUUUCCCUCACUAGGCGCCAUACUCUCCUAGGUUGUGAAACCAAUGCAAUGGAGGCCAAAACUUUGAUACCACUUGUAGGAUCGAAAGGAUGUCUAGAGGGGGGAGGGUGAUUAAACUACUUGACAAGAUCAAAACUUAGCCUUUUCCCAAUUUUAGUUGUGGUCCAGUUUUAGAAACUACGAGUGGUCAAGUUCAGCCUACACAUGCAUAUCUAAGAGUAUAGAAGCGGAAAGUAAAUACAUGCAAAUGUAAUGUAGAGGGUAAGGUAGGAAGAUCAAACACAAAGGUUGACACAACUAUUUUUGGCGUGGUUCCGAUAGGUGGUGCUAUCAUACGUCCACAUUAGUGAAGACUUGAACCCAUGGAGGGUAAUGACUGCGAGAGUCCACGGAGGGCUCCACCCAUAAGGGGUCCACGAAGAAGCGGCCUUGUCUAUUCUACCAUGGCUUACAUCCACACAGGAGACAAGACUAGCCUCACUCACGGUACAUCUUCAUGAACUAGGCGAUCUCGUUGCCCUUACAAACUUCUUGGUUCAACUCCACAACACGAAGUAGGAGGAUCCCAAGCGACACCUAACCAAUCUAGGAGGCACCACCCUCCAAAAUGUAAUAGAUGCGGUAGAAUGAUGAACUCCUUGCUCUUGUGCUUCAAAAGAUAGUCUCAUCAACACUCAAUCACUCUCUCACAUAUUUGGCAUGGGUAGAAGAGAUUGAUCUUGUGGAAAAAACUUGGGGAGCCUACAGAUCAAGUUUCAAAUUGUUGAAUUGGAGUCUCUUGAUCUCAACAGAUCAGUAGGUUGCUCUCUCUCAGAAAUAUGGAUCUCGCAAGUGGGUGUAUGUUCUGAGUGCUUCCUCUAUGAAAUUGAGGAUGUGGAGGGGUAUAUAUAGGCAUCUCCCAAAAUCCAACCGUUACAACAUUAUUGCCCAACUCGGUGACAUUGAAAGGAAUCUUGGUGGUAUCGAGUUGCACUAAAUGUGGCAACUUUUGAAUUCUCGAUGAGACCAAUAUAUGAUCUCGGUGGUACCGAUACGAUGACCUAGACCAGUUUCCAAAUCUCAGCGAGACCGGCUCCAAUCUCGGAAAUUCUGAUUCUUGGAAUUUUCAUAACAGAAAGUUGGUCACUGAAUCUCGGUGGCACUGAUAUGAAAGUUGGUGGUACCGAGAGAUUAGGGUUUGGCAAAGGAUCUCUCUGGUGGAAAAUCAGUAGGGUCGAGUGGAAAAUAUUGGUGGCACUGAUUUUGCUGGUUUAGCUUUGGACAAAGAUAUAUUGUGGGAGAAUGGCUGAGUAUUUUUGGUGGCUAUCUCUAUGCACUUGAUCAACCAAUUCAUCAUAAUACCCCACCCCUUUUAAUAGUAUUGGGUUUCCUAUGGACUGAAAGUGAUUUCUCACAAAUGUAAAAUGUAGAGUCUUCUUGCUUGAAGCUUAAGCCAAUCCUAUUCCUUCCUUCAUCAAGGGGUUUCUCCUCACAAUCCUGUAGCCAAGGAAUCUUUGAAUUUUUUCCGAAAUAUACUUUGAUAAGCUCAUUAGUCCAAUGAUGCAUAUGUUUUGAUCAAUUAUCACGACCACCUUAGGGAACAAUUGUGCUUUCAGAGAGUUUCACCCCUCACAAACUGUUGUCGUUGCCACCAUAUAAACUAAGAAGCCACUACAAUCAGUUAUGAUGUUGGCAGCUCCCCUACUUUGGAUUGGUUUCUCUCUAAAACCUCAAUAGUUACAGAUCCUGACCGGUCCUCACAAACUGCCUUAUGGAUCACAUCUUUCACUCCAAGCUUUUUCCAAAUUCUAGAAGCACAACAAGAGGUGAAUAAGUAGUUAGAUAUCUUCAAACCCAACAUUGACUAGUAACAUGUAUGUGACAGCCAGUGAGCACUCCAAAGCAUGGUCGAAUUCCCCUCAGAACCUUCCAUGCAAAGGGUUUAACUUUGCGACAAACUCGAAGCCUUCAAGUAUGUUGUGUGUAAGUGUUAAACAUAAGAAAGUUGUUAAACUAAAUUGUGUUCUUAAUUUGUGCUAUAUAACUAGAUAUUGUGCCUUCUAUGAUACUACAAUUACUGUUAAACUGAAAAGCCCGCCACGACAACCAAAAAUGUUGACGUGUUCACUUGGCCUGACAAACAAUACUAGUGGCGGGCAUGUAUAAUAAACUGCCACUGGUACAAACAUUAGCAGUGGUGGACGCCCUGCCUGCCACUGAUGACUGGUUAGUAGCGACAGACACCCUUCACAAUAACCCUGCCAUUGGUAGGCAUUUUGUGUCUGCCACUGCUAGCCUGUUCUCCAGUAGUGACAAGGGUUUUCCUCCAAGACUAUAUCAUUCAUACCUAGUAUGCGUAGGAGUUAUCACCCGAUUUAAUGCAUGCAUGAUAGCAUGAAUCCUUUAGGGAUAAUUUGGAAGCAAGGUAAAGAAAAUGAGGGUAGCAAAUCCUCCCUUAUCACAUGAAUUUAAACAUCCCAUGUUAUUCACUUUAUUAAGUUGCCCCAUUUCAUUAAGUAAAAUUGUGCCCCUCAAAUUCACAAGAUUCCAAAGUUGUGGGAAUGAAAAGUACAAUGAGACGUCCAACUAAAUCAUAUAAUGUUUGUGAAUUUUGAAUCAAAGUUUUUUGAUUGUGCCACAGAAAGAACAAGAAUAUUAUUUACACUUUGUUUGAGCCAAUGCAAUUUUUCUUAUGUAAUGCAAGCAAAAUUGAAUCUGAAGGAGAAAAAUUUCCAAUAGGAUACGACUUUGGGGAUCAAAUAACACCCAUAGUAAAAAAGCAUAGGUCUAUUUAUAUCACAUCUAUAUUAUCUCACAUCUAAGUUAUGACAUCAGCGAAAGUCAAUGCUUUUCCAGCCCACCGCAUUUUCUUAUAUUUAUUUUUUUGCGACAUUUUUUCAUUCGUUUUUUUAUUGGAGCGUGCUAAAAAAUGCAAUAAGACUUGCCUAUGAAUCGAACUCAAGACUAGAUGGUGGUAGUUGAGAGCUCCCACCAGUAUAACCAUUACAUGCAUUUGAUAAAUUCUAAGCGGCAUAUCUUUAAGAAAAUACAACAGAGUUGAUAUUAGAAGAAAUUUUCAAGAAAAAUGUAAAAAAUUUUAAAUGUAAAAUAUUUCUGAAAACCAAAGAAAACUUGAAAUUUCCAAAGUAUUUUUCAAAUAUAAAUAAAGUUUGUAAUGCCAAACAUUUUUUGAAAAAUUAGAAAACAAUUUGAUAUUCCGAUUUUCUUAAAAAAGAUGACACUUUUUGAAAAAUUCCCGAACAAUUUAUAAAUCAGGUACACCUUUUAAAAUUCCAAUUCCUUUAAAAAACAUGGUUAAAUGAAUAUAUUUUUAUUGUAAUCAUAACUUUUCAACAAAUGUUUUUUUGCACCAUUAAAAGAAUGAGGGUGCAAAGAAUGUUCAUGUAGUUCACAAGAAUGUCCGUGAUGUUUAAUAAAAAUGUAUUAUACAAUGGAAAAUAAUCAUAACAUUCAAAUAAUUAUUAUUUACAAUCUUUUAAAAGAAACUUCACGCAUUUAGAAAAAUCAAAACAUUUUCUAGAAAAAAUAUUUGUCCGAUGUAAAAAAAAUGUUCACGUAUUUUUUUAAAAAUCAUACAAUUUAGAAAAAUGAUUUAAAAAAUGUUUACCAUGUAUUCUAAGAAUGCUUGGGCCUGUACUUGGAAAAAAAUAUUCAUCAUGCAUUUUUAAACAAUGGUAUGUGUGUUAAAAAAUGUUCCUAGUGUAUACAUGAAAAUGUACAAUGUGCAUUACAAAAGUUGACAUGUAUUUGUGAAAGCUAAAUUGCUCCCUAAGGUGGUUUUGAUAAUUAGUCACAUCAUAUGCAUCAUUGGACUAGUGAGUUUAUUCAAAUGCAUUUAAAAAAGUUCAAAGAUGCUUUGGCUAUAGGAUUCUGUGGAGAUACCCCUUUGAUGCAAGGAAGGAAUAUGAUUGGUUCAAGCUUCAAGCAAGAAGACUCUACAUUUUAUACUUUGUGAGAAAUCACUUUGAGUCCAUAGAAAAGCCAAUACUAUUAAAAAAGAGUGAGGUGUGAUGAUGAAUUGGUUGCUCAAGUGCUUAGAGAUAGCCACCAAAAAUACUGAGUCACUUUCCGACAAAAUAUAUAUGUCCUAAGCCACAUAAGCAAAAUCGAUGCCACCAACAUUUCCUACUCGUCCAUACCGAUUUUACACUUAGACAAAUUAUAUGCCAAACCCAUCAUCUCGGUACAACCAACAUUCCUAUCGGUGCCACCGAGAUUUGGUGACCAACAUUCUGUUGAGAUGAUUUCAAGUUUCGGAUUUUUUGAGUUUGAAUUUUGUCUCACCGAGUUUUGGAAACCAGUCUAGGUCAUCGUAUCGGUACCACCAAGAUUCUUAUAUCGGUCUCACCGAGAAUUCAAAAGUUGCCACAUUUAGUGCAACUUGGUACCACUGAGAUUCUUUUUGGUGUCACCGAGUUGGGCAAUACUGUUGUAACGGUUGGAUUUUGGGGGAUGCUUAUAUAUACCCCUCCACCUACCUCUCAUUCGUAGAGGAAGCACUCAGAACACACUUACACUUGUGAUAUCCAUUUUUCUGAGAGAGAGACACCUACUCAUGUGUUGAGAUCAAGAGAUUCCAAUCCAUUCAUUUGAACCUUGAUUUCUAGCCUUCCCAAGUUGCUUUCCACAAAAUCAAUCUCUCUUACCCAUGCCAAAUCUAUGAGAGAGUGAUUGAGUGUUGAGGAGACUAUCUUUUGAAGCACAAGAGCAAGGAGUUCAUCGUUCUACCACAUUGAUUACCUUUUGGAGGGUGGUGCCUCCUAGAUAGGUUAGGUGUCUCUUGGGAGCCUCUUACUUCGUAUUGUGGAGUUGAACCAAGAUGUUUGUAAAGGCAAGGAGAUCGCCUACUUCAUGAAGAUGUACCGUGAGUGAGGCUAGUCCUUCGUGGGCGGAAGCCGUGGUGGAAUAGACAAGGUCACUUCUUCGUGGACCCCUUGUGGGUGGAGCCCUCCGUGGACUCUCGCAGCCGUUACCCUCCAUGGGUUGUAGUCUCCACUAACAUGGACGUACGAUAACGCCACCUACCGGAACCAUGCUAAAAAUCUCCGUGUCAACCUUUGUGUUUGAUCUCCCUACCUCACCCUCUACUUUUUUUUGAUGGGAAACUGUAAGCAAAACCCCUCACAACGAGUUUUUUUUGAAAUAAUAAGAACUCAAAUUCGCGCCCGUGGGGACUUGAACGUGGGUGGCUGGGUUGUACAUCUACUCCACUAGACAAGUGAGCUAGGCUCACUUCCUUUACUCUUGCAUGUUUUACUUUCCGCUGCUAUACUCUUAGAUAUGCAUGUGUAGGGUUUACUUGACUAGUUAUAGUUGCUAAAACUGUCCCACACUUCAAAUUGGGAAACAACUAAGUUUUUAUCUUGUCAAGUAGUCUAAUCACCCCGCCUCUAGACAUACUUUCGAUCCUACAAUUUGGAAAAAUAACUAUAUAGGGGUACUGGGUUGGGAAUGAUUUGCAUGAGGAGAGUGGACAUGCAACUAUGUCGGACAUGAGCUGCAUGACUGAGUCGGGUGGGUUUACGUGUUGGGGUGGAAUGGAACUAGAUAGGGGCCGAGGCAAGUUGCGUGUUGAAAAACAAAACACAAGCUUACUUGUGCAUUAAGGGUGGACUUGCAAUUGGAAGAAGAGCUAGGUUGUGAGUGGAGGAUAGACUUACAUAUGGGACAACUACAAAUUGAGACCAAUUGCGUGUCAAUGGUUGACUUAAAACUGGGAUAAAACAAACUAUGGUUCAAGUUGCGAGUUAACGGUGGAUUUGCAACUAGGAUGAUGACAAAAAUAUAGGCUCACUUGCGAGUCAUUUGUGGGCUUGCAACUGGAAUAAAACAAACUAUGAGACUAGUUGCGAGUCGAUGUUGGACUUAUAACCGAGACAAGCAUAUAAACUAUGAUACGAGUUGAGAGUUGAGAGUAAACUUGCAAUUGAGAUGAAAAACAAAACACAUACCCAAUUGCGUGUCGAGGAUGGACUUGUAACUGAGAAAACAAAAAUAUGGGCCCGACUGCGAAUCGAGGAUGGACUUGCAACAGGGACAACAAAAAAACUAUGAUCCCACUUGUGAUUCGAGGACAAACUUGCAAUUGAGGCCCCUACAAGUACAAAGCCCUUAGUUACGAGUUGAGGUUGGAUUCGCAACUCGGGAAACUACAGGUACAGAAAGCCCAGUUGCGAGUCGAGGAUGGACUUGGAACCUUGAAAAUACGACUACAAAAAAGCCUCUGUUCCGAUUUGAGGGUGGACUUGCAACUGGGGCAACUACAUGUACAAAAAGGUCCCAGUUGUGAGUCGAGGGUAGAUUUUCAACUACGAUAACUACAGGUACAAACCUCGAGUUACGAGUCAACGGUGGACUUGCUACUAGGGUACCUAAAAUUACAACGCCUCGAGUUACGAGUCGGCGAUGGAGUUGAAGCUGGUGCACCUACAACUACAAAGCCUCGAGUUGCGAGUUGAGGAUGGACUUGCAACUAGAUUAACUACAAAGUACAAAAGAAAACCAGUUGUGAGUCAAGGGUUGACUUGCAACUAAGACAUCCACAGUUACACAAAAACCCCUAGUUGCAAAUCAAGGAUGGACUUGCAAGUGGAGCAACAAUAGGUACAAAGCCAGUUGUGAGUCGAUGGUAGACUUGCAACUUGGCCAACCACAACUACAAUACCUUCAAAAGAAGGGUGAAACUAUGAAAUUGGGAUGAAACCAACUAUGGGACCAGCUGCGUGUCGAGGGUGGACCUGGAACCGGGAUAAGAAAAAAAGUACAAGCUCAAGUUGUGAACCGAUGAUGGGGUUGAAACUCGAACAACUACAGGUUCAGUUACGAGUCGAUGAUGACUCCAAACUUGCACAACUACAAAACUAGGAGCCCAGUUGCGAGUCAUGGGUUGAUUUGCAACUAGGAUAAAACAAACUACUGGACCAGUUGCGAGUCAAGGGUGGACCUGCAACCGGCAUGAGAAACUAAACACAGUCUGAGUUGCGGCUCAAGGGUGGGCUUGAAACUGCUAUGAAACAAACUUCAUGCCUAGUUGCGAGGUCAGGAUGUACUUGUAACUGGGACAACUACAUGAAACUAAGAUAUGAGUUGCAAGUCGAGGGUGGACUUGCAACACGGACAAACUACACAAAACUACGAUACGAGUUGUAGUCGCGAGGGUGAACUUGUAACUGGGACAACUACAAAACUACGAGUCGAGUUGCAAUUCAAGUAUAUCAUUGCAAUUGGGAUGAAACAAACUACGGGCCUAAUUGCGAGUCAAGGGUGAACCUGUAACUGGGAUGAAAAACUACACAUAGACCGAGUUGCGAGUCAAGACUAGACUUGCAUCUAGGAUGAAAUAAACUACGGGCCUAGUUGUGAGUCAAGUGAGUACUUGCAACUCGGGAAAAUACACAAAACGACUACGAGUAGCGAUUCAACAGUUGACUUGCAACUCGGACAACUAAAUGAAACUACGAUAAGCGUUGCGAGUCCAGGGUAGACUUGCAGCUGGGACAACAAUAAGGCUAUGGGCUCAGUUGCGAUUCGAAGGCAAAUUUGCAAUUGGGACAACUACGAAACCAUGAGCCCAGUUGUGAGUCAAGGGUGAACUUGCAACCAGGAUGAAACAAACUACAUGCCUAGUUGCGAGGCAAGGGAGGACUUGCAACUCGGCAAGUACACAAAACUACCAUACUAUUUGGGAGUCAAGGAUGGACUUGCAACCGAAACAAUAACAAACUACGAGCCCAGUUACGAGUUGAAUGUGGACUUGCAACUAGGAUGAGAAAAACACAUAAUGAUUUAUGAGUUUAGGGUAAACUUGUAACUAGGAAAACUAAAAAUUCAUUUACGAGUUAAAGAUGGACUCUACAAAUUCUCGGUCAUGCCAAAAAAACACACAACGAAAAUGAACAAAAAAUAUAAAGGGAUCGCGCCUCCCAAGCAACGAUAAAAGUAACAUGAGAACAUGCGAGCAUAAAACAAAAUGGAACAAGAGGACGCGCGACAAGAGAGAAAGAGCUGACACGGACGCACAUGAUCGACUUUGUGCAAACAUCAAACAAAUCAGAUGAUUAUAACUUGAUAAGACAUCACUAAAUCUCAUCUAAAUAAGAUUUAGCAAAUCUAAAAAAUAUCUAGUUACACUCUCCUCUACUACACAGUCAAACUAAAAUAAACAUAUAACCCACAAAAAGCUAGUACACACAACGUAAAAGGGCACACUAAAAAAAGUCAUAUAUGACCUCACUGCUUAACGAGGAGCGAAUGAAAAACACGACACAUCAACAAUGAAAGUGAAUCAUAAGCAUAUGAAUCAGAUGAGACGUUGUUAACUCACAUUUACUCCCUCCGUACCUAAAUAUAAGUCUUUUAAUAUAUUUCAUUAGGUGUCUACAUACAAAGCAAAAUGAAUGAAUCUAUACUCUAAAACAUGUCUAUAUACAUUUGUAUGUAGUCCAUUAGUGCAACAUCUAGAAAGACUUAUAUUUAGGAACGGAGGGAGUAGAUGAGAAUUAGACGUGAGUUAACAAAAACAAUAAAAAAAGAAACCCCUGGAUCAUACCGUAGUGACCCACCAAAUGACGCACGUAGAAGUAGGUAAGUAAGUAAGUAUCUUGGAUUACCUGCGAUAGUGGGAGCAGAUAGGAGUGAAAGCUUUGAAUACUUUUGUGACAAAAUCAAGAAGCUUCUGAAGGGGUGGAUGGAAAAGCAACUGUCAACAGGAGGGAAAGAAAUCUUGUUAAAAGCAGUGGCUCAAUCCAUCCCUGUCUUCGCUAUGUCAGUUUUCUGUUUGCCUAAGGGAACUUGCAAGGAUAUCACGGAUGUAAUUGCUCAGUAUUGGUGGGGAGAUGAUGAAGAAAACAAAAAAAUGCACUGGUUCUCGUGGUGGAAACUAUGCAUCCGAAGUGUGAUGGUGGCAUGGGUUUCCGCGAUCUUCACUCUUUUAACUUGGCCCUUCUUGCGAAACAAUGUUGGAGAUUGAUCACAAGGUCGGAGUCCAUCUGUGCUCGCAUCUUGAAGGCAAAAUACUACCCAAAUACAGACUUGCUACACGCUGGACCAAAGAGCGGAUCUUCGUUCACAUGGCAAAGCUUGAUGGCGGGCUUGACUGCGUUUAAAAGAGGGUACAUUUGGCGAAUUGGUUCGAGGGAAAAUGUAAGUAUAUGGAAUGAUCCAUGGAUACCCUCAAGCCCGGACAGAAGGGUGAUAACUCCUCGGCGGCAGAUUCUGAUUUCGAGGGUGGUAGAGCUCAUUGAUCCAGUCACCGGCCAAUGGGAUGAACAAUUGAUACGAGACAUCUUUUACCCAGUCGAUGCAAACAGAAUCUUGCAGAUACCUUUAAAUUUUCAAGCAUUUGAUGACUUCAUUGCGUGGCACCUCACAAGGAAUGGUAUUUUCUCGGUGAGGAGUGCUUAUCAUGAACAAUGGUCACAUAAGCUCAGGGGUCAAUCCCUUGUGAAUUCAGUGUCCACCAGUACUAUGCAGGCAGCUAUUUGGAAGAAGCUCUGGGAGUUACAAGUGCCAUGGAAAAUACAGAUUUUCUUUUGGCGGGCGUUGCGUGGAAUUGUACCACUAAAAUCCAUUCUUGCUAAUAAGCACAUCCCUAUUGAUGGGGAGUGUCCGGUGUGCCAUAGGGGACCUGAAGACAUGCGGCAUAUGUUAUUCCAGUGUGAUUUGGCGAGAAGGUUGUGUGCUGGACUAGGGCUGAUUGAUCGUAUUGAACAAGCAGUUCAAGUGGAUCGCUCAGGGUCAGCCAUCUUAGAAUUUCUCCUACUAGAGCUGGACCAACCAAUGUCGAUCAUGUCAAGUAUUAAUGACAAAGAGGUAAUAGCGGCUGGCUGCUGGUAUCUCUGGUGGCUCCGCCGGCGACACACCCAUCAUGAUUCUUGCCCUCCAUCCUUCAGGUGGCAUACCUCAAUUCUAGCAAUAGUGGGAAAUUACAUAAAAUCUUUAUCAAAGAAGAGGGAACCGGUGGAACACAAGUGGAAGAGACCAGAGGCAAGAUUUAUAAAGCUAAAUGUGGAUGCUUCAUUCCAUUCAGAUGAAGGAUCGAGUUCUACUGCAGGUAUCUUACGAGAUGAAAAGGGUGGCUUUAUUGCAGGGUUUUGCAGAUUCAUUCCCUUUGCAGCUGACGUUGUCACGAUUGAAGCAAUGGCAAUGCGAGAUGGUUUACAUUUGGUGAACUCCUUGGGCUUUAACAGGGUAGAAGCGGAAUCAGAUUCUUUGAGCGUCAUCAAGUGUUGCCAAGGGCAAGAUCAGUGGUGGGAUGCAGCAGCGGCUGUCUUUGCUGAGUGCAUAGAUAUGGCUACAUCUAUAGGAAAGGUCAUCUUUUCUCAUUGUUUUCGUGAAGCUAAUUCAGUAGCUCAUGAGCUAGCAAAGUUUAGUUUCUGUAAUAAAGUUGAGCACAAUUGGACUAAUGAACCUCCUGAGUUCUUAGUUAGCCAAUUGAUGAAUGAUGUUUUGAUUAUUUGAGUUAAUAAAGCUAGCCAUGAUGGCCUUUCCUCAAAAGAAAAAAGGAAACGCAUGUACGCGACACUAGAUGCAGCAACAAAAUAAUCCAUGAUUAAGAUUUGAAAAAAUGUAAAACAAACAGAUGAGAGUAUGUUUUUCAUGAAUAUUAAAAAAAAUGGAAAACAAGAAAAUACAAAUAUAAAUAAAAGAAAACCAGGAAACUAAAAUACUUGAUAAUUUGAAACAAAUAAUAAAACAGAAAAAAGAAAAAGAAAAAGAAGAAACAACAAAAGUAAUGCGGCAGCCGAUAUAGGCUACAGCCCAUAUAACAAGAAGAACCUAUAGGUACGAGGGCAGCUACCUAACAUACCGUUGGCGAUCCUAAAAAAAGUGAUCCUCAAACGCAACAUUCGUUUCUUCAAAAACAGGGUUGGGGGGGGGGGGAUAACAUAGUGUAUGAAACAGAACUACUAGACGGAUGAAAAAAGCAAAUCAAUCCGUGGUUGGAUGAUUGGAGAGACAGUGAUAUCCCAGCACAUCAGGGUUUAAAUCCUGAUGCUACACUAUUUUUAAAUUUAUUUCAGGAUUUCCGACAAUAUGCUUUCAGUGGGAGGAGACAUUCCCGUCGAGGAUAAGAUGCCUACAGUGACUUUGUAAAUCUCAAGACGAUAUACUCGCUCAGUCUUUGAGAGAUGUUCAUAGGGAUAAGAUGUGUGUAUGUUCGGUUUAGGAGUUAAAUCUGAGAUAAGUAUUUUACAUCUAGAUGUGAAAUAGCAAUUUCAAAAAUUCAUAUGAAAAAUCUCUGAAUGAAAAAGACUCAUUAACUUAGAAACUCCAUGCAAAAAUACAAGGCUAACUUUUUUUCUCUUAAAUAAAAAAGAAAAAUAGAGAAAAAUGACGGAGGAUAACACUUGGCAGUGGGCGGGUGAAACACAUCACAAUUUUAUUUUCAAAUUGAUCUCUAACCAGGAAAAUACCCCGCGCAUACAACCAAGACCACGCACUCACCCCAUCGCAUGGCCUCCACACGCCUUGUCGAUAUCCAUGGUGGCAUCUAGCGCCGGCCGGGUGGCACGGAUCCCCCUUCACUCCCUCAGCGUGUGAACGUCGUCGCUCCAGCCCAACCGUUGCUCGUGUUCAGGAUAAGCUGCCCAGCUCGUCCGCCCUUCUUAUUGCCGCUGCUUCUCAGCUCACACGCUCCAACACUAUCCUCUCGUGUCUCGUCGAGCUAUCUGUCCACGGAGUAGUACCUUCCCGAGCUAGCUCGCAGCUCCGCCGCAAUGGCCACCGUGGUGAGCAGCCUCCGCUUGCCCUUCUCCGUCUGCGCCGCCGCCCCCUCGGCGCCCAUGGCAUCCCGCGUCGCGCUCCCGCUGUCGUCGACGGCUGCCAGGGGCAUGAGGCUCCGCGCGCAGGCGACGUACAAGGUGAAGCUGAUCACGCCGGAGGGCGAGGUGGACCUCGAGGUCCCCGACGACGUCUACAUCCUCGACCACGCCGAGGAGGAAGGGAUCGACCUGCCCUACUCCUGCCGCGCCGGCUCCUGCUCCUCCUGCGCCGGGAAGGUGGUCUCCGGCCAGCUGGACCAGUCCGACCAGAGCUUCCUCGACGACGACCAGAUCGAGGCGGGGUGGGUGCUCACCUGCGCCGCGUACCCCACCUCGGACCUCGUCAUCGAGACACACAAGGAGGAGGAG
rnacentral:lncRNA from 1 species